rnacentral:misc_RNA from 1 species
AAGAAAAGGGUUGGUUAGAGAGAAUUACGGAGACAAUGUCACUGUGGGGAAGAGCUUAAAUAGAGAGAACCUAAGCAAAGCAGGGCAGAGAGUCUUUUGUGAAGAAUCAGCUGCGAGCUUAGAGCAAGAUUUAUUGCACGGGAAUAUUUUCCUGGACCUCUUUCAGAGGGUUUUUUAUUUGUCUUCUAAUUCUGUAUUGAUGGAGUGGAUGUCAGAAUUUGUUGUUGAAAUUGAGUAUACUGAUUCAACAAUUCAAUACAAGCUCUUCUGUUCCAUUUCCCGUUCUCUUUCAUUAUUUUAUUUCUGGUUAAUUUGUAUCCAUGUUGUGG